rnacentral:rRNA from 1 species
GACGCUGGCGGCAUGCUUUACCAUGCAAGUCGAACGGUAACGCGGGCUUCGGCCUGGCGACGAGUGGCGAACGGGUGAGUACAACAUCGGAACGUAUCCUUUAGUGGGGGAUAGCCCGGCGAAAGCCGGAUUAAUACCGCAUGAUCUCUGAGGACCAAGCGGGGGACUUUCGGGCCUCGCGCUGUUGGACGCCGAUGCCG